AGGGUUAUAUUUAAUUAUAAUAUUUGAUUUGCAGUCAAAAGGUAUCCAAGGGUUAACCUUU
rnacentral:tRNA from 1 species